rnacentral:rRNA from 1 species
UAAGGUCCCAAAAUAUAUGUUAAGUGGAAAAGGAUGUGGCGUUGCCCAGACAACUAGGAUGUUGGCUUAGAAGCAGCCAUCAUUUAAAGAGUGCGUAAUAGCUCACUAGUCGAGUGACACUGCGCCGAAAAUGUACCGGGGCUAAACAUAUUACCGAAGCUGUGGAUUGUCCUUUGGACAAUGGUAGGAGAGCGUUCUAAGGGCGUUGAAGCAUGAUCGUAAGGACAUGUGGAGCGCUUAGAAGUGAGAAUGCCGGUGUGAGUAGCGAAAGACGGGUGAGAAUCCCGUCCACCGAUUGACUAAGGUUUCCAGAGGAAGGCUCGUCCGCUCUGGGUUAGUCGGGUCCUAAGCUGAGGCCGACAGGCGUAGGCGAUGGAUAACAGGUUGAUAUUCCUGUACCACCUAUAAUCGUUUUAAUCGAUGGGGGGACGCAGUAGGAUAGGCGAAGCGUGCGAUUGGAUUGCACGUCUAAGCAGUAAGGCUGAGUAUUAGGCAAAUCCGGUACUCGUUAAGGCUGAGCUGUGAUGGGGAGAAGACAUUGUGUCUUCGAGUCGUUGAUUUCACACUGCCGAGAAAAGCCUCUAGAUAGAAAAUAGGUGCCCGUACCGCAAACCGACACAGGUAGUCAAGAUGAGAAUUCUAAGGUGAGCGAGCGAACUCUCGUUAAGGAACUCGGCAAAAUGACCCCGUAACUUCGGGAGAAGGGGUGCUCUUUAGGGUUAACGCCCAGAAGAGCCGCAGUGAAUAGGCCCAAGCGACUGUUUAUCAAAAACACAGGU